GCAGUCGAACGUGGAAACCUUAGCUUGCUGAGGUGGAAAGUGGCGCAAGGGUGAGUUAACACGAUGAGCAACCUUCCCCCGACUUCGGAAUAGCCCCGGGAAACUGGGAUUAAUGCCGGAUGUGGUUUUUCCCACUUAUGUGGGAUCUACUAAAGAUUGAGUUCGGUCGGGGAUGGGCUCGCGGCCCAUUAGCUAGUUGGUAGGGUAACGGCCUACCAAGGCUACGACGGGUAGGUGGUCUGAGAGGAUGGUCACCCACACUGGGACUGAGACACUGCCCAGACUCCUACGGGAGGCUGCAGUCGAGAAUCUUCCGCAAUGGGCGCAAGCCUGACGGAGCAAUGCCGCGUGAGGGAUGAAGGCCUUCGGGUUGUAAACCUCUGUCAGAGGGGACGAAAUUUGACGGUACCCUCAGAGGAAGCCACGGCUAACUACGUGCCAGCAGCCGCGGUAAUACGUAGGUGGCGAGCGUUAUUCGGAUUUACUGGGCGUAAAGGGUUCGUAGGGGGUUUGGCAAGCCUGAUGUGAAAUCCCGCGGCUCAACCGCGGACGUGCAUUGGAUACUGUCGAACUAGAGUUCCUGAUGGGAAAGCGGAAUUCCAGGUGUAGCGGUGGAAUGCGUAGAUAUCUGGAAGAACACCGGUGGCGAAGGCGGCUUUCUGGCAGGAUACUGACCCUCAUGGACGAAAGCGUGGGUAGCGAACAGGAUUAGAUACC
rnacentral:rRNA from 1 species